rnacentral:lncRNA from 10 species
CAAAUGGGAGAUCAUGGUAGGAAGGCUUUAUGGGUUAGCCCUGAAAGUGACGUGUAUCAUUUUGCCCACAUACCAUUAACCCAAAUUCAGUCACCUGGCUGUACCAAAAUGCAAGGCAAAACUAGUUAGAAUCCAUCAUGUCUUAUAUUUGUAUCACACAGCUUUUAGAGACCUCUCAUAUAUGUUACUACAUAAUGCAAUUUCAUGAAAGGCCAUAAAGCACAGUGGUUAAGGCAAGGCAUGGUGGCUCACA